rnacentral:rRNA from 1 species
UACGUAGGGUGCAAGCGUUAUCCGGAUUCACUGGGUUUAAAGGGUGCGUAGGUGGGCAGGUAAGUCCGUGGUGAAAUCUCUGAGCUUAACUCAGAAACUGCCGUGGAUACUAUUUGUCUUGAAUGUUGUGGAGGUGAGCGGAAUAUGUCAUGUAGCGGUGAAAUGCUUAGAUAUGACAUAGAACCACCAAUUGCGAAGGCAGCUCACUACACAAUUAUUGACGCUGAGGCACGAAAGCGUGGGGAUCAAACAGG